rnacentral:lncRNA from 1 species
UUUUAUAUUUUAAAAAGUGGUAUAUAUGCAUCACUCUCUCUAAAAUACAUUGUAAUAUAGUUGAGACAUAUGGUUAGACAUUCUGCUUACAUCAUAAAUAACUUUAGUUUUUAGUGUAAAAUUAUACGGUUGGAAGGUUAUACAAAAAUUCCAUCAUCAAUCCUCUCAAUGAAAGUUGAGAGUAUGCAGAGUCAGAGCUAGGGGGACAAGGG